rnacentral:rRNA from 1 species
AUAUUGGCUAGAUAUGAAGCGGCAUCGGGACAAAAAAUCAAUCUCCAAAAGUCUUCAAUUUUCUUUGGGAAAGGUUGUGAACAGCAGCAAAAGGAGGUUCUGAAGCACACUGUUGGCAUUGAACAAGAGGCGCUCAGUGAGAGAUAUUUGGGUCUACCAACACUGGUUGGGAGAUCUAAGGACGGGACUUUCAAAUAUCUA